rnacentral:rRNA from 1 species
AUGCCGGAUCAGGUGAAGCACUGCAAGACGGCGCUCAAGGUGCUCGACAAAACGCUCAAGAAGCCGGCCGCAAUAUUUGACGACUUUAGAGGCCUUCCGGCCAUAAGAACAUCGCUCCAGUUGGCUCAGAAGUUUACUGUGGCUCGAAGUCCUGCUAAUAGGGAAAGGAACCGCUACACUGAUGUCUUGCCAUUUGAUGAAACCAGGAUAAAGCUACAGUCCUCAACAGGCAAUCAGACUUCAAGUAAUGAUUACAUCAAUGCAAGCCUUAUAAAGUAUGAUGACAAAGAUCAGACAAAGUUCAUUUCUACUCAAGGUCCGCUAGUGAAUACAUUCGAAGACUUUUGGCAGAUGGUCUUUGAGAACAGCUGUCCUGUAAUUGUCAUGCUCACUAAAUUUGACAUUGUUAAGUGUGAUGAGUAUCUUCCACUGAGCAAGGGGCAAGGAGACUAUGGAAGAUUGAACAUUAAAAUCAUGGAGACCAGACAAGAUGGGGAAUUAACAUUGCGCAGUGUGAAGGUGCAACAUAACGAGUCAGAUAGAGUGCAUACUGUUCUCCACAUCCAGCACUCCACUUGGCCUGACCAUGGUGUGCCAGAUGACAGCAGUACUGUACGGAAGAUUCUAAAAAGAUUAUAUUACAUUCCUAAAGAGCACCCAGUUGUUGCACAUUGCAGUGCAGGCAUUGGGAGAACUGGUGCUUACAUCACAAUCCAUAAUACAGUAGAGAGGAUAUUACGUGGUGAACAAGCUGCUACAAAUCUUGUGGAAACUGUCGGGAAGUUUAGAUCCCAGAGACCUGGCAUGGUCCAAACAGAGGAACAAUACAAGUUCUGCUAUCAUGCAAUUGCGGAUGAGCUGAAAGAUCUGAUUAGGAAUUCGAAGCGCUGA